UACGUAGGUGACCAGCGUUGUCCGGAUUUACUGGGCGUAAAGGGCUCGUAGGCGGCCAACUAAGUCAGACGUGAAAUCCCUCAGCUUAACUGGGGAACUGCGUCUGAUACUGGAUGGCUUGGAUUCGGGAGAGGAAUGCGGAAUUCCAGGUGUAGCGGUGAAAUGCGUAGAUAUCUGGAGGAACACCGGUGGCGAAGGCGGCAUUCUGGACCGACAUUGACGCUGAGGAGCGAAAGCCAGGGGAGCAAACGGG
rnacentral:rRNA from 1 species